rnacentral:lncRNA from 12 species
UUUGACUUCCUCCUGCCCUAAAGCGUGGAGAUCCCAGAGGAAUUCAAAACUUUGAAAGAAAGAUCUGUAAAUGGCCUGAGCUCUUUGUGAAGGUUCCAUAUGUGCAUGGAAUUCCAUACAGUGCUUGCCUACCUUUACUGUGUAUGUCACCACAUGAAAUGAGUAAGUGAAGUAACAUACCUGACAUGUCUCAUUUUACGUUGAAU